GGUGGUGAUGACAUCAUUACUGUAGACAUCAACUUUGCUCAAGUUCGUACAGCUCCAACGAUUGUACGUGCUCUUGUGUAAUCAGCUUAAUCAGUAACAAAGCCUAUGGAAUCCCAUGGGCUUUUUUAUUUCAAAAAUUUCAGAGGUUGCUAUGGCUUUAAAAGUCGGAAUUAUUAAAAGCUCAGAUGUUGCUCAGUGGUGCACUUUUGAAACUGAAGGUGGACAUGCAGAGUUUAAAAUCCGGGGAAUUGGUUAUAAGCCCUUUCAAGUUGCACUAGAGAAGGCAGGAAACCAAAUCACAUCCAAAGGCUAUGAUGUGAUGGUAAAAGAUGAAAAUGCCAAGCUAUAUCAUGAAUUAUUACUGGAUGCAUGUGCUGCUCACCUGAUUGAAGAUUGGAAGGGGAUAGUUUUUUCAGAAGUUGUAGACGGUCAGCCAGUUGAAUCGGAAAAACCAUAUACCCC
rnacentral:rRNA from 1 species